rnacentral:lncRNA from 1 species
CGGAGGCCCUCGAAUAAAUUUUUUACCCCCACCACGCUCCGAUCUUAAUCUCGUCAAAUCAUUUAUUCCAGUCCUAAAUUAAAGAACAAAUUAUUAUGCUACCUUUGCACAGUUAGAAUACUGCGGCUAUUUAAAAUUUUCACUGAGCAGAUUAGACUUUUUA